ensembl:snRNA U4 U4 spliceosomal RNA
AGCUUUGCGCAGUGGCAGUAUCGUAGCCAAUGAGGUUUAUCCGAGGCGCGAUUAUUGCUAAUUGAAAGUUACUAUAGUUAUGCUGAUGAGGAGAAUCAUACAGAGGCUUAUGCUCUUUAGUACCCUAACAGCAAUAGAAUUGAAAUGCUCUGCUGUUC